CGCGUACACGACCUACCUUACACUGAGGGAUAGCCCUGGGAAACUGGGAUUAAUACCUCAUAGUAUUAGAUAAUUGCGAUUUUCUAAUUAAAGGCUUCGGUUGGUGUAAGAUGGGUGUGCGUUAGAUUAGCUAGUUGGUAAGGUAACGGCUUACCAAGGCGACGAUCUAUAGGGGGCGUGAGAGCGUGGACCCCACACGGGUACUGAGACACGGACCCGACUCCUACGGGAGGCAGCAGUAAGGAAUAUUGGACAAUGGGGGCAACCCUGAUCCAGCCAUCCCGCGUGCAGGAAGACGGC
rnacentral:rRNA from 1 species